rnacentral:rRNA from 1 species
AAUAGCCGCAAUUCGUGCUAAGGUAGCAUAAUCAUUUGUCUUUUUAAUGAAGACUAGAACAAACGAUUUAACAUUUCAAUCAAUUUAUUUAAUUUAUACUCAAAAUUAAUAUAAAUGUUAAAAUUCAUUUUCAAUACAGAAAGACGACAAGACCCUAUUGAACUUUACUUAAGUUGAACUGGGGAAGUAAAUUAAUUAUUAUUUUAAUAUACUUUGAUAUAAAAGUAUCAAAAGCAUUUAAUUAAACAAGUUACCAUAGGGAUAACAGCGUAAUAAUUUUAUAAAGCUCUUUUUCUCAAAAAAGAUUGCGACCUCGAUGUUGAAUUAAUAACCUAAUUUAAGCAAAUUUUUAAAAAGGAAGUCUGUUCGACUUUUAAAAAAUUACAUGAUUUGAGUUCAGACCGGUGUAAGCCAGGUCGGUUUCUAUCUUCUUAAAUAAUUCUUGUAGUACGAAAGGACCUAAGAAAAUUUUUUAA